rfam:Phytophthora nicotianae strain race 0 contig2604, whole genome shotgun sequence.
UCCCAAAUAGUCUAGGCGGUUAUGUAGGAUACGUGGCUUUCACCCACGCGACCCGGGUUCGAGUCCCGGUUUGGGAA